rnacentral:ncRNA from 1 species
AAGGACUACUAUUACAUCCUUGCAGCAUCAAAGGAUGACAAGCAUCCAGAGCACAAGAAGUGGAAGAAUAAGCGAGGCAACGCAAAGGUUUUCUCCUUCCAGCGUUAAGUGGCGCUGGCUAAAGUACGUGAACUCAGGGAACACCCAGACCGGGCAAUCCUGAGCCAAGACUCCCGCCUCCCUAACGGAGAUAGUUAUGGCGGAAUAUACCUGCAAAGGAUGCGGCCCCAUUGAGGACAAGACGGGCCGCAACUUACCAAACAACAGGCGGGAGUAAAGGUGCAACGACUAUCCCCUAGGGGAGUAGGGCCAAGCGGCCCGAAGCGCGUACCUCUCAUGUUGAGAGAUGAUAUAGUCUGAUCUGCAUGGGAACAUGCAG